UACGUAGGGUGCAAGCGUUGUCCGGAAUCAUUGGGCGUAAAGCGCGUGUAGGCGGCUUGGUAAGUCAGCUGUGAAAGCCCAGGGCUCAACCCUGGGAUGCCGGUUGAUACUGCCAAGCUCGAGUCCGGAAGAGGAGUGUGGAAUUCCUGGUGUAGCGGUGAAAUGCGCAGAUAGUCAGGAGGACACCAAUGGCGAAGGCGGGUCUCUGGGCCGAUACUGACGCUGAGGAGCGAAAGCGUGGGGAGCAACAGG
rnacentral:rRNA from 1 species